rnacentral:misc_RNA from 1 species
AACCUCAUAUGUAACAUCAGUCAGUGAAUUCGCCGUGCAGAGCUCCUUGGCAGUCUGAAUUACUUGGGCUGCAAUCCUCUUCAGAUUAGAGUCCAAGUACGGAAACACGUCAACAACUCCUGCAGCCCCAACACCGACCGGACCGGGGAGCCCGAUGACAGGGCUCGGGAUGGGCUUGGCAUGGACGACGACUAGACUGAACUGAGCGGCGGAGCCGGCGGGGAAGAAGUGGCCGAGGGUCCACUGCAUGGCGUAGAAGCUGUGGUCGCUGUCAUCGAUCGCGAUUAUCAUCGCCGGCUUCGCCUCUUCCGCCAUCUCUCUCUGAG